rnacentral:rRNA from 1 species
UACGUAGGCAGCAAGCGUUGUUCGGAAUUACUGGGCGUAAAGCGAGUGUAGGUGGUUCGAUAAGUUUGGUGUGAAAUCUCCCGGCUCAACUGGGAGGGUGCGCCGAAGACUGUCGAGCUAGAGUGUGGGAGAGGUAGGCGGAAUUCCUGGUGUAGCGGUGAAAUGCGUAGAUAUCAAGAGGAACACCUGAGGUGAAGACGGGUUGCUGGGCUGACACUGACGCUGAUGCGCGAAAGCCAGGGGAGCAAACGGG